rnacentral:rRNA from 1 species
GACGAACGCUGGCGGCGUGCUUAACACAUGCAAGUCGAGCGGUAAGGCCCUUUCGGGGGUACGACGAGCGGCGAACGGGUGAGUAACACGUGGGUGACCUGCCCUCAGCUCUGGGGUAAGCCUGGGAAACGUAGGGUCUAAUACUGGAUAUGACUCCACGGUGCAUGUCGUGGGGUGGAAAGCCUUGUGCGGCUGAGGAUGGGCCCGCGGCCUAUCAGCUUGUUGGUGGGGUGAUGGCCUACCAAGGCGACGACGGGUAGCCGGCCUGAGAGGGCGACCGGCCACACUGGGACUGAGACACGGCCCAGACUCCUACGGGAGGCAGCAGUGGGGAAUCUUGCGCAAUGGGCGAAAGCCUGACGCAGCGACGCCGCGUGAGGGAUGACGGCCUGG